rnacentral:rRNA from 1 species
CACGUAGGGGGCGAGCGUUGUCCGGAAUCAUUGGGCGUAAAGAGCUCGUAGGCGGCUCAGUAAGUCGGGUGUGAAACCCCCAGGCUCAACCUGGGGACGCCACCCGAUACUGCUGUGGCUAGAGUCCAGUAGGGGAGUGUGGAAUUCCCGGUGUAGCGGUGAAAUGCGCAGAUAUCGGGAGGAACACCAGUAGCGAAGGCGGCUCGCUGGGCCAUUCCUGACGCUGAGGAGCGAAAGCGUGGGGAGCGAACAGG